UAAGAAGGUAGAAACUAGAACCUGUAGGACCUGUCUUGUUGAUAGUGUUGGUAAGAAGGUAGAAACUAGAACCUGCAGGACCUGUCUUGUUGAUAGUGUUGGUAAGAAGGUAGAAACUAGAACCUGUAGGACAUGUCUUGUUGAUAGUGUUGGUAAGAAGGUAGAAACUAGAACCUGUAGGACCUGUCUUGUUGGUAAGAAGGUAGAAACUAGAACCUGCAGGACCUGUCUUGUUGAUAGUGUUGGUAAGAAGGUAGAAACUAGAACCUGUAGGACAUGUCUUGUUGAUAGUGUUGUUAAGAAGGUAGAAACUAGAACCUGUAGGACAUGUCUUGUUGAUAGUGUUGUUAAGAAGGUAGAAACUAGAACCUGUAGGACCUGUCUUGUUGAUAGUGUUGUUAAGAAGGUAGAAACUAGAACCUGUAGGACAUGUCUUGUUGAUAGUGUUGGUAAGAAGGUAGAGCAGUGCUUUAUUAUGGACAUACUUCUCCCCAUCUUAGCUACUGUUAAAUUAAUAUGUUUUGACCGUGAGUUUACAAUCCAGGGUUACUCUAAGCAGUUUAGUCAUCUCAACAUGCUCAAUUUCCACAUGAUUUAUUACAAGAUUUAGUUGAGGUUUACAGUUUAGUGAAUGUUUUGUAGCAAAUACAAUGCUUUUAGUUUUAGAAAUAUUUAGCUAACUUAUUCCUUGCCACCCACUCUGAAACUAACUGCAACUCUUUGUUAAGUGUCACAGUCAUUUCAGUCACUGUAGUAGUGUUGGUCAUUACUGAGAUGUGGCUAAGGAAGAGUGUUUGGAAUACUGAUGUUAACCUUUCUGGUUAUAACCUUUUUAGGCAAGACAGAUCUUGCCUAAAAAGGUGGGGGAGUGACAAUCUUUACUCAGUUGUCUCCACCAAGUCUGUCCCCAAACAAUUUGAUGUGCUGGUUUUAAGUAUUAAACUUUCAAAUAGUUCUUUGUUGACUGUUGCUGGGUGCUAUCGUCCUCCAUCAGCACCGGCCUGUACCCUACUCUCUCCUGGCCCAAGCUUUCUCCUGCCCACUUACACCAAGCCUGAAUUUGUCCUGCUAGGUGACCUAAACUGGGACAUACUUAAACUAUCUGACCAAGUCCUAAAGCAAUGGGACUCCCUAAAUCAUUCUCAGAUCAUUACCAAUCCCACAAGGUAUGACUCCAAACACCCAGAAAAAGCUACUCUUCUUGAUGUUAUCCUCAAAAAUAAUCUUGAUAGGUAUCAGUCUGGCGUUUUCUGUAAUGACCUUAGUGAUCACUGUUUAUCAGCCUGUGUUCGUAAUGGAUGCUCAGUGAAACAACCUGUCCUGAUUUGGUAUAGAAUCAGCUUGAUCCCCUCUGUCGAAGACACUUGGACCUUCUUUUUUAUAUACAAAAAAAGAACCGAAUGGUUCUUUACCAUUCGGUCAUCAGAUUUGGCACCAAUGCUCCAUAUAGGACACAUCACUGCACUCUAUACUCCUCUGUAAACUGGUCAUCUCUGAAUACCCGUCGCAAGACCCACUGGUUGAUGCUUAUUUAUAAAACCCUCUUAGGCCUCACUCCCCCUUAUCUGAGAUAUAUUCUGCAGCCCUCAUCCUCCACAUACAACACCCAUUCUGCCAGUCACAUUCUGUUAAAGGUCCCCAAAGCACACACAUCCCUGGGGCGCUCGUCUUUUCAGUUCACUGCAGCUAGUGACUGGAACGAGCUGCAACAAAUACUCAAACUGAACAGUUUUAUCUCCAUCUCUUCAUUCAAAGACUCAAUCAUGGACACUCUUAAUGACAGUUGUGGCUGCUUUGUGUGAUUUAUUGUUGUCUCUACCUUCUUGCCCUUGCUGUGCUGUUGUCAGUGCCCAAUAAUGUGUGUGCCAUGUUUUGUGCUGCUACCAUGUUGUGUUGCUACCAUGUUGUUGUCAUGUUGUGUUGCUACCAUGCUGUGUUGUCAUGUGUUGCUGCCUUGCUAUGUUGUUGUCUUAGGUGUCUCUUUAUGUAGUGCUGUCUCUCUUGUCGUGAUGUGUGUUUUGUCCUAUAUUUCUUUAUUUUUCAUUUUUAAUCCCAGCUCCCGUCCCCGCGGGAGGCCUUUUGCCUUUUGGUAGGCCAUCAUUGUAAAUAAGAAUUUGUUCUUAACUGACUUGCCUAGAUAAAUAAAUAUUAGAUAAAAUUAAAAUAAAUCAAAAGUAGCUAACGUGUAAAGUAUUGAAUCAUCUGCAUACAUAGACACUCUGGCUUUACUCAGUGGCAUGUUGUGAGUAAAAAUGAAAAAAAAACAAGGGGGAAUUCCUGAUUCUACCUGGAUUAUGUUUGAGAGGCUUCCAUUAAAUAACACCCUCUGUGUUCUGUUAGAUAAGUAAUUCUUUAUCCACAUUUUAGCAGGGGGUAUUAAGCCAUAACCUGUUAUAAGCCUUCUAUAGACCACUCCAGCUGUGUUCUGGACACCAUAUGUGAACUGAUUGCCCCCAUCUAUCUUCAGAGCUCAUGUUGCUAGGUAACCUGAACUGGAACAUGCUUAUAACACCCCAGCCAUCCUACAAUCUAAGCUUGAUGCCCACAAUCUCACACAAAUUAUCAAUGAACCUACCAGGUACCACCCCAAAGCCUUAAACAUGGGCACCCUCAUAGAUAUCAUCCGAACCAACUUGCCCUCUAAAUACACCUCUGCUGUUUUCAACCAAGAUCUCAGCGAUCACUGCCUCAUUGCCUGCAUCCGUAAUGGGUCAGCGGUCAAGCGACCUCCACUCAUCACUGUCAAACGCUCCCUGAAACACUUCAGCGUGCAGACCUUUCUAACCGACCUGUAUGUUGGAAGGAUAUUGACCUCAUCCCGUCAGUAGAGGAUGCCUGUUUUUUAUUUUUUAAAUGCCUUCCUCACCAUCUUAAAUAAGCAUGGCCCAUUCAAAAAAUUUAGAACCAGGAACAGAUAUAGCCCUUGGUUCACAAAAACAUCCUAUGGCGUUCUGCAUUAGCAUCGAACAGCCCCCGUGAUAUGCAACUUUUCAGGGAAGUUAGAAACCAAUAUACACAGGCAGUUAGAAAAGCCAAGGCUAGCUUUUUCAAGCAGAAAUUUGCUUCCUGCAACACAAACUCAAAAAGGUUCUGGGACACUGUAAAGUCCAUGGAGAAUAAGAACACCUCUUCCCAGCUGCCCACUGCAUUGAGGAUAGGAAACUCUGUCACCACCGAUCCACGAUAAUUUCAAUAAGCAUUUUUCUACGGCUGGCCAUGCUUUCCACCUGGCUACCCCUACCCCGGUCAACAGCACUGUACCCCCCACAGCAACUCGCCCAAGCCUUCCCCAUUUCUCCUUCUCCCUAAUCCAGUCAGCUGAUGUUCUGAAAGAGCUGCAAAAUCUGGAACCCUACAAAUCAGCCAAUCUGGACCCUUUCUUUCUAAAAUGAUCUGCCGAAAUUGUUGCAACCCCUAUUCCUAGCCUGUUCAACCUCUCUUUUGUGUCAUCUGAGAUUCCCAAAGAUUGGAAAGCUGCGGUCACCCCCUUCUUCAAAGGGGGGGAACACUCUUGGCCCAAACUGCUACAGACCUAUAUCUAUCCUACCCUGCCUUUCUAAGGUUUUCGAAAGCCAAGUCAACAAACAGAUUACCGACCAUUUCGAAUCCCACCACACCUUCUCCGCUAUGCAAUCUGGUUUCAGAGCUGGUCAUGGGUGCACCUCAGCCACGCUCAAGGUCCUAAACGAUAUCUUAACCGCCAUCGAUAAGAAACAAUACUGUGCAGCCGUAUUCAUUGACCUGGCCAAGGCUUUCGACUCUGUCAAUCACCACAUCCUCAUCGGCAGACUCGAUAGCCUUGGUUUCUGAAAUGAUUGCCUCGCCUGGUUCCACCAACUACUUCACUGGUAGAGUUCAGUGUGUCAAAUCGGAGGGCCUGUUGUCCGGGCCUCUGGCAGUCUCUAUGGGGGUGCCACCGGGUUCAAUUCUUGGGCCGACUCUCUUCUCUGUAUACAUCAAUGAUGUCGCUCUUGCUGCUGGUGAUUCUCUGAUCCACCUCUACGCAGACGACACAAUUCUGUAUACAUCUGGCCCUUCUUUGGACACUGUGUUAACAACCCUCCAGACGAGCUUCAAUGCAUUACAACUCUCCUUCCGUGGCCUCCAACUGCUCUUAAAUACUAGUAAAACUAAAUACAUGCUCUUCGACUGAUCGCUGCCUGCACCUGCCCGCUCGUCCAGCAUCACUACUCUGGACGGUUCUGACUUGGAAUAUAUGGACAACUACAAAUACCUAGGUGUCUGGCUAGACUGUAAACUCUCCUUCCAUCAAACAUCUCCAAUCCAAAGUUGAAUCUAGAAUUGGCUUCCUAUUUCGCAACAAAGCAUCCUUCACUCAUGCUGCCAAACAUACCCUUGUAAAACUGACCAUCCUACCGAUCCUCGACUUCGGCGAUGUCAUUUACAAAAUAGCCUCCAAUACCCUACUCAAUAAAUUGGAUGCAGUUGAUUACAGUGCCAUCCAAAGCCCCAUAUACUACCCACCACUGCGACCUGUACUCUCUCGUUGCCUGGCCCUCGCUUCAUACUCGUCACCAAACCCACUGGCUCCAGGUCAUCUACAAGACCCUGCUAGGUAAAGUCCCCCCUUAUCUCAGCUCGCUGGUCCUCAUAGCAGCACCCACCUGUAGCGUAGCCCGCGCUCCAGCAGGUAUAUCUCUCUGGUCACCCCCUUCCUUUGGCCGCCUCUCCUUUCAGUUCUCUGCUGCCAAUGACUGGAACGGACUACAAAAAUCUCUGAAACUGGAAACACUUAUCUUCCUCACUAGCUUUAAGCACCAGCUGUCAGAACAGCUCACAGAUUACUGCACCUGUACAUAGCCUAUCUAUAAUAUUGCCCAAACAACUACCACUUCCCCUACUGUAUUUAUUUAUUUAUUUUGCUCCUUUGCACCCAAUUAUUUAUAUUUCUACUUUGCACAUUCUUCCACUGCAAAUCUACCAUUCCAGUGUUUUACUUGCUAUAUUGUAUUUACUUCGCCACCAUGGCCUUUUUUUGCCUUUACCUCCCUUAUCUCACCUCAUUUGCUCACAUUGUA
ensembl:lncRNA